CCGGGUUAAGCUUGGAGGCCAGCCGGGCGGAAGGGCGUGGCUUGAGGCGGAAGUCCCGCCUCCUGUCGGGUCACGUGAGGGGCUGGACGCGAGAGCAGGAAUCAUGGCACUCUGGCGGGCAUACCAGCGAGCCCUGACUGUUCACCCGUGGAAAGUACAGGUCCUGACAGCUGGGUCCCUGAUGGGCCUGGGUGACAUUAUCUCACAGCAGCUGGUGGAGAGGCGAGGUCUGCGGGAACACCAGACUGGCCGGACCCUGACCAUGGUCUCUGUGGGCUGUGGCUUUGUGGGCCCCGUAGUGGGAGGCUGGUACAGGGUUUUGGACCGGCUCGUCCCUGGCACCACCAAGGUAGAUGCGCUGAAGAAGAUGCUGUUGGAUCAGGGGGGCUUUGCCCCUUGUUUUCUAGGCUGUUUCCUCCCACUGGUAGGAGCACUCAACGGACUGUCAGCCCAGGACAACUGGGCCAAGCUACGGCGGGACUAUCCUGAUGCCCUCAUCACCAACUACUAUGUAAGCGAUGACACCGCCCCUGCCCGUCCUGCUUUCUUGAGUCCAGACGUGCCCGGGAUGGGGGUCCUCCUGACAUAGAAGCCCCUCCGUUGGGAUGAGUGGGCACCACACUCAGGGAAGCACUCACUCAGCUGCUCACCUUGUUCUUGUCUGCAGAAGUCGGAGUGAGACCAGGCAACUGGCCGUUGUCCAGUGUGUGGCUGUUCUCUGGAAUUCCUACCUGUCCUGGAAGGCUCACCGGCUCUAGGCCCGCCUCACUCCAUUGCCUGCACUUGUGGGGAUGCCGCUUGACCCUGGAGCCACCAGACAGCCUCCUCAGAGUGGGCACAUCAGCUUUCCUGGGGUUCCGUGCCACUCAGAACUUAAUGGGCUUUGCUCCUGUCUCCUCUUGAAACCAUUAAAACCCUUCUAAUGGUUUUGUACAACCACCACCAUAAACGUUCGUUGUACUGUAUGGUCUUGUCAACCUUCGUUUAUACUCAUAUCCCAGCAGUGCCACUCACCCCCCACUCUUCAGAGACACGUCUGUUCUCUAACCUUCCCAGCCCUACAGUAACUCCAGCUCUUUGGGGGCCACAGACCCUUUAUGUGGUGCCUCCAGAAGUAUGCUAUUAAAUAUGUAGUCUGAAACCUGCAAAAGCGGUGAGUAGGACGCAGCAGAAACCUAUGGGGCAGUGAGAAUUUCUAGAGCCGGAAAGAAGUCUAGAGACACCAACCCUGAUCUUCUUUUACAGAUGAGCACACCAAGGUCCAUAUAAGUGAGGUGACCUGUCCGUACCAACAACCAGUGGCAGAGUGGAAACUUGAACCCACAUGCUAUAGGUGAAUGUUUGUAUCCCCUCCAAAAUUCAUGUUAAAGACCUAAUGCCCAAAGUGAUAGCAUUAGGUGGUAGGGCCUUUGGGAGGUGAUAAGGACAUGAGGGAUUAAUGUCCUUCUAAAGCAGCCCCAGAGAGAUCCCUCACCCCUUCCACCAUGUGAGGACACAAUGAGAAGGUACUUUUUCUGCAGGUCAGCAAGUGGGUUCUCACUAGAGAACCAGCACCGUCAGCUUGGACCUCCCAGCUUCUAGAACUGUGACAAAUAAAUGUUUGUUUAUAAGA